CCACGUGAAAAACAAAACGACGUCAUUUUCACAUCACUUAAUUCCCUCCACACUUUUCUUCAUUUCUCCCGUUCUCAUUUCUCUCUCCCCUUUCAAGCUUUCCUUCUUUUCCCCCUUUCCCGAUUCAUUUCCUUUUGUUUCCCAAACCUUCGUCUUCGAUUCUUUCCCCUCAUUCCAAACCUCGUACGAUUAACAGACUCCAUCUUUCACCAUCAAAAUCGACCCCCCACCUUCCUCUCUGAAAUGGACCCACGAAUCGGAUGACGCAGUCCCCCCAUUUCAAGCACAAUUCCCCCCUUCGAAGCUGAAAUCUCAGUCUUUCACCUUCAUCUACAUUCAAGCACGAUUCCUCCCAUUUUCCAUCUUUAAACUUGGCAGAUCUAUGAUUUUUACACCAUUACCACGAAAGCCCCAUCUUCUCACUCGAAAGCGACGCAUGAAACCCACGCCGUCAAUACCCUAACCAAGGUCUUCCUCAAGCAUGAUUCCCCCAUUUUCAUCUUUAAACUUGACAGAUCUAUGGUUUUUACACCAUUCCCACGAAAACCCCAGCAUCCCACUCGAAAUCAACGCCUGAAACCCAUGUCGUCGAAACCCUAACCCUAACCCGUACCCAACCCUGUGGUUUAAUCCUAACUGGUGUAACCCUAACCCUAACCACCAUGUACAAAGGAGGUUAGUUAGCUUUUUUUCGUCUUUGUUUUGGUUUUACUUUCAGCAUACAUUUUAUAUAUAAAUUAUACUAGAUGUUUUUGAUGGAUUAGAGAAUUAAACAUACAUCCAGAUUAUGAAAAUACAAGCUUUUCAAAUGUGAUUUGUGUUGAUGUGCUUUCGUUGUCAGUAACUAAUCCAUAUAUGUACAAGUGAUCACAACUGCGUGCUUGUGUUGAUUGCUUCGUGUGAGGGAAUGCUUAGGGGAAACUUUAUGUGUUGGGGAUGAAAUUAGCGUUCAUGAUUGUGUUCAAAUCAAGAGGUAUCCAAACAUGUGCACGUGCCAAAUCAAGAGGUUGUAGCUCCUGACAUUGAUUGUGUUUCAGACAGCCAGUAAUGUUUGUCUCUAAAAGUAUUACCCUUUUGAAAAAUUUUCAAGUGGCAGAUAAUAAUGAAGACUGCAAAUGCCAACUUCGAUAUAGAUACAAUGAACUUUUAAGGAAGGAGAAAGAGCUCAAGAAGGAAAAAGAGCUCGAGAAAAAACUCGACAAUAUCAAGAAGAGGGAGAUUUCCAUAAGGCGUUCACGCUCACUACUCAAGCUUUAUUGGGCUUUUAUAGUUGUUGUGUCAUGUUACUCAGUAGCAUUAAGUGAUUUUGGAACUUGGUAUAUGUUUGGUAUUUGACAGUAUGUAAGUUAUUAUUAAUAUUAUGUACGUUAGCACUUUCUAGGUUACUGUAAAUUCAGAAGUAAUCUGCAAUUGAGUUAGUAUACUUUCUAUGUUGUUGCUAUAAAUUUUGAGUAAUCUGGGAUGAAUCAUGAGUUAGUAAA